rnacentral:rRNA from 1 species
UACGUAGGGUGCAAGCGUUGUCCGGAAUUAUUGGGCGUAAAGAGCUCGUAGGCGGUUUGUCACGUCGGAUGUGAAACCCUGAGGCUCAACCUCAGGCCUGCAUUCGAUACGGGCAGACUAGAAUUCGGCAGGGGAGACUGGAAUUCCUGGUGUAGCGGUGAAAUGCGCAGAUAUCGUAAGGAAGACCAGUGGCGAAGGCGGGUCUCGUGGACAGUUCCUGACGCUGAGGCACGAAGGUCAGGGGAGCAAACGGG